GACGAACGCUGGCGGCGUGCUUAACACAUGCAAGUCGAACGGAAAGGCGCUGCGCUUGUGGGGCGGACGAGUGGCGAAGGGGUGAGUAACACGCGUGUAACACCCCCUUAUCUUUGGGAUAUCACCAGGGAACAGGGGCUAUAACAGGAGAGAAGCUCCUGCUGCGUGUGGGGGGUUGGAGAGAUUCGGCGGUGUUGGCUCGUAUCGCGGCUUAUGAGCUUGUUGGUGGGGUAGGGGUUGACAAGGGCUAUGACGGGUAGCCGGCAUGGGAGGGUGACCGGCCACAUGGGGACUGAGGUAGGGCCCAGACGCCUACGGGAGGCAGCAGUGGGAAAUAUUGCACAAUGGCGGGAAGCGUGAGGCAGAAACGCCGCGUGCGUGAUGACGUCCUUUUGGUUGUAAACCGCUUUCGCCUGUGACGAGGCGGGAGUGACGGUACUGAGUAAAGAAGCACCGGCUAACUACGUG
rnacentral:rRNA from 1 species